AGUCAAGGGGUGCCCUACCAUUUGGGCUGAGAUUACACCCUCGAACCUGAUCCGGGUAAUGCCGGCGGAGGAAACUGUUUUAU
rnacentral:ncRNA from 1 species